UACGGAGGGUGCAAGCGUUGUUCGGAAUUACUGGGCGUAAAGCGCGUGUAGGCGGUUUGAUAAGUCGAUUGUGAAAGCCCGAGGCUCAACCUCGGAAGCGCACUCGAAACUGUCAAGCUUGAGUACGGGAGAGGGAAGUGGAAUUCCUGGUGUAGAGGUGAAAUUCGUAGAUAUCAGGAGGAACACCGGUGGCGAAGGCGGCUUCCUGGACCGAUACUGACGCUGAGACGCGAAAGCGUGGGGAGCAAACAGG
rnacentral:rRNA from 1 species